rnacentral:rRNA from 1 species
AGUGAACGCUGGCGGUAGGCCUAACACAUGCAAGUCGAACGGCAGCACAGUAAGAGCUUGCUCUUACGGGUGGCGAGUGGCGGACGGGUGAGGAAUACAUCGGAAUCUACUUUUUCGUGGGGGAUAACGUAGGGAAACUUACGCUAAUACCGCAUACGACCUACUGGUGAAAGCAGGGGAUCUUCGGACCUUGCGCGAUUGAAUGAGCCGAUGUCGGAUUAGCUAGUUGGCGGGGUAAAGGCCCACCAAGGCGACGAUCCGUAGCUGGUCUGAGAGGAUGAGCAGCCACACUGGAACUGAGACACGGCACAGACUACUACGGGAGGCAGCAGUGGGGAAUAGUGGACAAGGGGCGCAAGCCUGAUCCAGCCAUACCGCGUGGGUGAAGAAGGCCUUCGGGUUGUAAAGCCCUUUUGUUGGGAAAGAAAAGCAGCAGGUUAAUACCCCGCUGUUCUGACGGUACCCAAAGAAUAAGCACCGGCUAACUUCGUG